AAGGCUCAGUAUGCAGGAAACUUGUUCAGAGGGAAACCGCGUUUAGCAGAGCGAGAUGUGCCUUGGUCCUUGGAAGCCAGGGAGCAGCAGGGGAUCUCGCCGCGUGCUGGGGUCGCGCCCACCUCGGGGGGGGGGGGGGGGGCCUGCCGGGACACUGGGCUGCGCUGUUGUAGGAAGAAGGAGGGAAACUGGGCAAAGGUUUCAGGGCCUCUGAGUAACGGGGUGCACUCAGGAGACCCCGAGGCCAGCGCGGGCCUUGCAUCGCCCUCACCUGUUGGGGUGAGGCCUUGGUCGGGGCAGGUGUGCUCCCCCCGUGCUGGGGCCGGCGCCGGGUCACGACCCCCGGUCCCCGACCUGCCGAGCGCCCGCCUCCUCCUGCGGCUGCCCUGGCCUCUGGGCGCCGCGCCCAGGGCUCGUCCCCAGUACCCGCGGUCCCUCUGGGGGCCGGGCCCCUGCCCUCGGGCCCCUCGUGUGCGCCCCCCCCCCAGGGCCCAUCCCCGCACGUGCACCUGCCGCCUGGUGGCUCCCCGCGCAUCCGCCCCGGCAGGUGUGGGCGCCGCGCCAGGUGACCCGCCGCAGCCGCAGCCGCCCCGCGGGAGGCCCCGAGGCCCAGAGGCCCAGGACCCGCGCCCGGGGACUGGAGGUCGCCGUGGGCUCAGGGCCCCGCACAGCGGCCGCGGACACGUGGGGCCCGACCCGCCGCCCUGCCUGCCGCCCGCCCCAGCCCCGCGGGCCGCCUGUGGAUGGAGGGCGCAGGCCCGGGGCCAGGGUCGCGGCCGAGCAGGACCGAGCAGAGGAUGCGUUGGGGGAGACGGUGCGGGGCGAGGCCCCGCGGAGAGAAGCCUGCUGACCCGCAGGGGGGGCGCGGGGCGGGGCGGCUCUGCUGCAGGUGGACUGGUUAGAGGGAGGCCGGGAGGGGGAGGGAGAGAGGGAAGGGGAAGGAGGGAGGGAGGAGAAAGGGCACUGAGAGAGGGAGGGAGGGAGGGAGGGAGGGGGAGAGAGGGGGAGAGGGAGGGGGGAGAGACAGAGGGGUAG
rnacentral:lncRNA from 1 species